ACCAGAACUGUGUGACAAAUGACUGAGGAGGUCCUGGGGAUGCCAUCUCAUUCUGCAGCCAUUAUUGUGCCUGACCUAAACCCAAAUACCCAGGCCCCAGUCUCCAGGGUGACACCUGAAGGCCCUGGUCUCCUGGCAACCAGGAACAAUGGCCCCUGGGAAAAGCACACAGAGUUUGGGAAAGGGCAGCCUUUUCUCUGUGCCCCUGGGUAGGAUGGGGGCUUUCCACCAUGCAGGCAGGGUCUAGAGUAGAAUGCAAGCCACUGAGGCACAGGGGCCCAGCCACCUCCUUGUCAUUGCCACAUCGUAGCCAAAAGUCAAAGAAAUCCCUCCACGUGGGGCUUAGUCACCCGUCUCUUUACUGAAUGAAGGUCAUCCUGACCUGACUCACAGCCUCUCUCAUCCCUAACAGACUUCCCUCCACCUAGGCUCAGGUCAGCACCUUCUCCCCCAGCGCCAAUUCAAGGAAUACACUCUUCCAGUGGCCUCUGUGGUCACCUUUGGCCACUGUACUGCUCUCUGGGCAGGCCCCUCAGUUUGGCGAUGUGGUUCUAGAGAAGAGGAGGGGGACACAGGUUUCUGCCACUCUCGCAUAGUCAGUGAUGUUGUCACAGCAAGCUGGGGACAAGUCAUCCCUCUGGCAUCUGCACGCUCCCACCUCUGAAUGGGGAUAGCAGCCUGUCCAAACCUGCCAGGAAGGUUAGUGGAAACCAUGUGCACCCCGGGCUUCAGUGUGCAGAGCAUCAUUCUGCAUUGGAGUAACACUUCUAUCCUUGGCAAAGCCAAGACCAGACCAAGGAGGUUCCCGAGCUGACUGAGCCUCUCAUCAUACCUCUUCACGCUGUGGAGGCCACGAAGGAUGAACUUCAUGGGUGUGAGUCCCAGCUCCCAGGUUCCCAUAAAGGACCCCUGCAUAGGGCUCAGCAGAGGGAGGAAGGAAAGAAAGGUUGUGGCUGGUAUUCUGAAGAUGAGGUGCUGGGUCACUGGAGACUCUCAAGGUCAAGGUCAUAGAAUGUUUCCCUGCUGAGUGGGGUACAGGAGCCGAGGCUGAAAGGACAGAUGGUACCCAGUCCAAAGGAACAAACCUAAUUUAAAGUCAUACACAGAGACAAUGGCCUAGCACAAAGACCGCAGCCAGAAGAUGCCAGUGAGCCAAGGGUGCUGCAAAAGAGGGGACAAAGCCAGCUGCCACCAACCUGACUUAGCAGUAAGCAGAGGGGUGCUCUGAGAGGGGUGGCCCUCAAGAAGUCCCCUACCCUGGGUGCAGUCCUCCCAGCACUCGCUAAGCUCAGCUUCGGUACUGUCUGGGAAGAAGUGCAUGUGUGUUCCCCCUGCUCCUGCUGACAGGGUGCAGCCCUGCAUGAGUGGCCACCUGAGGUUCAAAUAAAACUCUCCCACUUCAGUAGCUUCUGACCCAAAUUUUCUAUCAGCUCAGGAGACAGAGAUCCUCUCUUCAGCACUAAUCCUCAAGAUGUGGGUGAGACGGCUGUAGAAAUAACUAUUUCUAUGGUUGGAUUAAAGUCUUGGCGAAAUGUAUACCUGGCAUUGUUAUCCGGUCACAGGCCAUGGGACCCAGGAGAGAGCCUCCUACGAUUCUUCUGCUGAGUGGACGCACUUAGUAAACCAAAUCCUGGUGACUGACCACUACAGCCACAGAUUAGCACCUCUCCAGCUUCAUCAGAGAAGCCUCCAUGAGUACUAGAUGUUGAUAAACCCAGAGACCCACAGCCUAACAAGGUGCAGAGAAAAGAGACCAGAGAAAAGAGACUUGAGAAUGUUCAGCACCAAGUGGGACGCCUGCAUCACGAGCUUCUGCCUUUCCAGGCUCGGGAAUCAGGGAAGAGGGGGCAGAGAGCGAGAGUCAGAGGCGAUGGAGUCACGGAAAUGGGAUCUUCAGAUCAAAGAAAACUAAACAAAAGCUUU
rnacentral:sRNA from 1 species